rnacentral:rRNA from 1 species
AUCCGCUCCAACCAAAACUUGUAUAACGGCCUCAACAGGCUUUUUGAGAUUACGCUCCUAUCGCUAGGUAGCAACCCUUUGUACCGACCAUUGUAGCGCGUGUGUAGCCCUGGCCGCCCGGGCUAUGAUGACUUGACGUCGUCCCCGCCUUCCUAUAGUUUGUCAUUGGCAGCAUCCUUAAAGUUCCCACCCGAAGUGCUGGCAAAUAAGGAC